UUAAGUUCCCAGGUCUGUGGUACCUGAUUAUGGCAGCCCUAGCAGACUAAUGCAAAUAAUAACAGCAAUAGAGUCAUAACCUUCCUGAAAACGUGCUAUGUGUCAGAGACUUUUCUGAGUGCUUUAUGUUGAUUAACUCACCAACUCCUCUUAUCAAGCUGGAAUCAGGUCCUACUAAUAACUUCACUUUACGGAUAAAGAAACUGAGGCACGCAGAGAGAACGUAACUUGCCCAGAGUUGCAGAGCUGGCAAGGGAUGGAGCAGAGGAGAUUCGAACCCAGGCAGACAAGCUCUAGAGCCGGCUUUCCUAACCACUGUACUUCGUUAAAAAGGGAGCACGGAAUUCUAUGAUUCUAGAAUAACCUUGGAAACCCAAGGACCCCUGGCUCCGGAAUCCUCACGUUCAAGGACUCCCAGUACCCCAGAGGGGCCAGCCUCCAUCAUGGCUGGCAUUUGGGGAGCAGCAGAAGCUAUGGGAAGAAGACAGUCGAGAGGCCCAUACUCCAGCCCCAGCUCUGCCCUUUCUAGGGGCCUUACCUCCUUGCACUCAGUUUUCUCACCUGGAAAAUGGACAUAAGUACCAUUCCUGCCUAGAAUUCCUGGGGAGGGGGAUCACAGUAAAAUACCCUUUGCAAUAACAGGUGCUCGAUACAUGGGGGCUAUUAUCUCUAGUUCGUAUGGAAGACCUCCAGGGUCCCCAAAUCUGCUUUUUCUAGUUCCGAGCAAGGACCUUUGGGGUUGCAAUCCAGCAAAGGAUUUUGUGGCUCUUUUGCAGCCACUGCUGGAGGAGCAGAGAGCCCAGAAUUGGGUGCCGUUUGGCGCGAACGCCGUGUCCCCAAGUUCUGCAAGCCAUCUUUCUUCCGGGGCUCAUCCUCUUCUCACAUGGAAUCACUACAUGGAAACUGAGUCUACACCACAGAUACAGGCGGCUCCGCAGAGCCCCAGGGACUCCAGAGACAGACAUCCCGUGCUUACUGAAAGCAAGGGCUGAGCUCCAUUCACCCUCUGGACCCCACAACUCGGGGCACACAGGACCUGUGCUUUCAACCCUGGCCACACAUAAUAACCACUUGGGGAGGAGCCUUUGAACAAUACAGGUGCCUGACCCCACUAGAGACCCACUGCAUCACUGAAGACCCACUGAAUUGUGGGUGGGCCCAGCAUCUCAAGCUCCUCAGAGGCCCCUGCUGAUUCUAGCAUGCAGUCGGUGCUGCAAGUCUAAAGCUUUAGCCUGGGCCCUGCUCCAUGACGUCAAAGACCACGACUGCAACUCUCCCACCCAGGACAACGCACCUGGCACAAAGAACACGCCCCAUAAACAAUGUUUGAAGGAACGAAUGAGCGCGCACACUGAAGGCUCUAAGAAAAAAAAACUGCAACUGAAAAAUAUUAACUUUGUUUAAACCUGCUGUUUCCCAAACUUAAAAAUUGACCAUGGAAUUUGUUUUCUCCAUGGAAAACCCAUUUACACCCUAGGGACACCUGGGAAGCACCGCACGGGGACAUGCUGGGCUGGAGAGGUCUCAGGGUUGGUGUCUCUGGCUUCACAAACUGGACCUGGAGGUGUGUUAUAAACCUGGUGCAAGGGACUGAAUUGAAGAUGGCUACAUCCUUUCUCUCCCCACUGUGCCCCCUCCCCGCUGGCUCCCAAUGCCCAGGAAAUGUGUGGUCCUCCUCCCUUGGGCUCUGGAUAACAAUAGUGAUAAUAUUAAUAAUGACAACAACAACAGACACCAUGGCUAUGAACCUCAAGGGGCCUUUGAGCUUUUUCUGCACUUCAAGAAGCUCAGCUCAGAAAGCAAGAGUCCUGGCAGCUGCCCACGUUGGCCCAGGAGGAGGCCACUUUCUCUCUGCUGCUGCCCACGGGGCCCUAGAGAACCCUCCUCUACCCAUGGAGGGUUCCAGCACUCUGAGUUCACUGGGCCCAGGGGGGCCUCCAGUAGAACCAGUGAAGGCUCAACCCACCAAGGGGCUUUUUAUAGCUGGCCUCCCUUCCCUGGGCCUCUCCCCUGCAUCCAGCCGAGAUUUCAGCCUAAAUGGGAAAGGCUAUUCCUUAGAGGGACAGAGGCUGAGCUUCAAACUUAACUACUUAAGGGCUAGAGCAGGUGUCCUCAAACUACGGCCCGAGGGCCACAUGCCACCCGCCUAGGACAUUUAUCUGGCCCGCCGGGUG